rnacentral:lncRNA from 1 species
UCUUUUGUUCGAAGUUGGUCUGAAUUUCUGGUUGGCUGCCCUAGACUAAAAUCGUGUGAGAAGUCGUCCUCUUCUAAGCUCAUUCGUCCCAGCUCGCUGCUCCGAAAGAGGUAACUUCAUCUCUUCUCCUAUAUCAUGUUGGUUUACUUUCCAUUUGAUGAAUUAGCUAUAUAUUCGUUCUAUUUGAGUUCGGGCUGAUCUUAUGAUAUGUGAAAAUAGGAUGGAAGUAGCAAGGAACAUGUUUUCGUUUUGAAUUUCCAGUCGCUAGUCUUUUUUUUUCCUUAUAUGUAUAAUUGAUGACUUCACUAUAUUAUUGCAUUAUAAUCAUUCAUUGGCAUUCAUGUUUUAUGUAUAUUAUUCCAAAUUCAUGAAGGUGUUCUAUUCAUCUUAUGUGCCUAGAUGUAUUCGGAAAGAGUCCUAACUUACAUUUUGUCUAAAUCUUUUCGACAUGUUGCUUCCUUUAGUACCGUAUUUCCAUUCGAAUCUGAAAGUGACCGCCAUAGAUCUUUGCAUUAUAUUUCUCGGUUCACUUUAUCCUUUUCUCUUCAAAAUUAGCUUAAUGGUAAAAAUAAAAAAUAAUAAUAAAAUAAAAAUAUAUUGCUUUUGAUUCAUGUAUAUGGCAUCUUGAGUUUCAUAUAAAAAUCAGCUUUUUAAUUUGGUUCGUGAUUAAUUUCAGUUUAAGUUAUUAGAGGCAGUAGCAUUUCCGCUUGAAAAUUCCCCUAGAAUCUAUAUCUUGUUGUAGGAAUUUUUUUCAUGAGUAAUUGUAAGAUAUUUUGAUAUCCAAUAGUUAUAAUUUCCCUCCCAAAAUUGCUAGUUCUUGUUUUUAGCCCAUUUUUAUAUUGUGAAAGUUUUCAGAAUGCUUGGUUGGUUUUCACUUCUAUCUGUGCAUAUAUGCUUACUCAUUUAGUGGUAGUGUUAGCAUAUUAAGGGAUUUGGAUAUGCAUUUAGUAUAUAUUUUGUUGUGGACAUUUUAUAAUGUUUACGCAUUUAGUAUUAACUAAAGUUGCCCUAACUUUCUUAGCCUUAACUGUUGGUGUCAUUUGUUAGCAUGCAUUUGUUUAUCAAAUGGGUUGGAUAGUAUAUGUAUUAUUGUGGACAUUAAGCGCUAACAAUAGUUUAAGUAACCAUUUGUUUUAUCAUUAGCAUAGCUUGAAUCUUUAGAAUUUGUGCUCCUUACCUAGAUCUGCACUGUUUAAUUCAAUCGAGCCAUUUUGCCAUAAGAGUUGUUGUGAUUUGUCUUAGGUAUAAUUGUUGUUCUAUUAUUAUUGGAUGCUAACUCUUAUCAUCAUUUUUUUGUUGCAUGUGAAUCCCUUCCGAGUCCACGGUGGACUUCUCUUCCUAGCAUCCUCGAGUUGAGCCAUAAAGGCUCAAUUUUUUAUUUUUUAUUUUUUUCAUCAUUCGAGUCAGCCAGGCACAUAAAACAGAAGCACAGGGCUGGAAAACAGAAAACACAGAUAUUUAGAGCCGAAAAUGGGUCGUAUACAUGUUGUAUACACAAGUAUACACUGAUAUACAGGUCCAAAACGCAAAAAUACAAGGCGGAGGUAAAAUAUAGGUGUUCGGAAGAAGGAGAUACAAGAAAAGGGCUGAUAUACAUUCCGAUAUACACUAAUAUACAGCCUGUGUAUACAAAAACGGAAUUGGUUUAAAGGCCAAAUUUUCAGCAAAAACUGGCCCAAAAAGGGGGCCCAAAUUCAUUUCUCCUUUACCUUUAAUUUAUUUAAUUGAUUUUAAUUAUUGUUUUUUUUUUAUCAUUAACUCUAAUUUUAGAAUUGUUAAUUAACUUAAUUAAAUUCCCCAAAAGAGGAGUUAUAUUCUUUGUGUUGGUUUAAUUUUUAAUACAUUUCAUGUUUUGUGUUCA